rnacentral:rRNA from 1 species
GAGUUUGAUUAUGGCUCAGGAUGAACGCUGGCGGCGUGCCUAACACAUGCAAGUCGAACGAAGCAUAUAGAAGGAAGUUUUCGGAUGGAAUUUUAUAUGACUUAGUGGCGGACGGGUGAGUAACGCGUGGAUAAUCUGCCUUACACAGCGGGAUAACAAGUGGAAACAGUUGCUAAUACCGCAUAAGCUCACAGUAUCGCAUGAUACAGGGUGAAAAGAUUUAUCGGUGUAAGAUGAGUCCGCGUCCCAUUAGCUAGUUGGUGAGGUAAAAGCUUACCAAGGCGACGAUGGGUAGCCGGCCUGAGAGGGUGAACGGCCACAUUGGGACUGAGACACGGCCCAGACUCCUACGGGAGGCAGCAGUGGGGGAUAUUGCACAAUGGGCGAAAGCCUGAUGCAGCGACGCCGCGUGAAGGAUGAAGUAUUUCGGUAUGUAAACUUCUAUCAGCAGGGAAGAAAAU